GCAAUACAGUUGAUGGCGACCCGGCAAACGGGUGCGGAACACGUACACAACCUUCCUUUUAGUGGAGAAUAGCCCAGGGAAACUUGGAUUAAUACUCCGUAACAUAUAGAAGUGGCAUCACUUUUAUAUUAUAGCAGCAAUGCGCUAGAAGAUGGGUGUGCGGCUGAUUAGAUAGUUGGCGGGGUAACGGCCCACCAAGUCGACGAUCAGUAACUGGUGUGAGAGCACGAUCAGUCACACUGGCACUGAAACACGGGCCAGACUCCUACGGGAGGCAGCAGUAAGGAAUAUUGGACAAUGGCCCGCAAGGCUGAUCCACCAUCCAGCGUGCAGGAAGAANGCCCUAUGGGUUGUAAACUGCUUUUAUCAGGGAAGAAACCUCUGGAUUUACUCCGGGAGCUGACGGUACCUGAAGAAUAAGCACCGGCUAACUCCGUGCCAGCAGCCGCGGUAAUACGGAGGGUGCGAGCGUUAUCCGGAAUUACUGGGUUUAAAGGGUGCCGUAGGCGGCUUUGUAAGUCAGGAGUGAAAAGUUUGCGGCUAACCCGUAAAAUUGCUUCUGAUCUGCAUCGCUAGAAUCAGGAUGAGGUCAGCGGAAUGUGGCAUGUANCCGGUGAAAUGCAUAGAUAUGCCAUAGAACACCAAUUGCGAAGGCAGCUGGCUAGACCUGUAUUGACCCUGANGCA
rnacentral:rRNA from 1 species